AGAGUUUGAUCCUGGCUCAGAAUCAACGCUGGCGGCGUGCCUAACACAUGCAAGUCGAACGCGAAAGCCCCGCAAGGGGUCAGUAGCGUGGCAAACGGGUGAGUAACACGUGGGUGACCUGCCUUCGAGUGGGGGAUAACGUCCCGAAAGGGACGCUAAUACCGCAUAACAUCCUGCCUUUGAACAGGCGGUGAUCAAAGCUGGGGACCGCAAGGCCUAGCGCUGGAAGAGGGGCCCGCGCCUGAUUAGCUAGUUGGUGGGGUAACGGCUCACCAAGGCGACGAACAGUAUCCGGCCUGAGAGGGCGGACGGACACACUGGGACUGAGACACGGCCCAGACUCCUACGGGAGGCAGCAGUGGGGGAAUUGUUCGCAAUGGGCGCAAGCCUGACGACGCAACGCCGCGUGGAGGAUGAAGACCUUCGGGUCGUAAACUCCUUUCGAUCGAGACGAAUGGUCCCUGGGCUAACAUCCUGGGGAAUUGACGGUACCGAGAGAAGAAGCCCCGGCUAACUCCGUGCCAGCAGCCGCGGUAAUAACGGGGGGGGGGCAAGCGUUGUUCGGAAUUACUGGGGCGUAAAGGGCUUCGUAGGUGGCCAACUAAGUCAGACGUGAAAUCCCUCGGCUUACCCGGGGAACUGCGUCUGAUUACUGGGAUGGGCUUGAGUUCGGGAGAGGGAUGCGGAAUUCCAGGGUGGUAGCGGUGAAAUGCGUAGAUAUCUGGAGGACACCGGGUGGGCGAAGGCGGCAUCCUGGACCGACACUGACACUGAGGAGCGAAAGCCCAGGGGAGCAACGGGAUUAGAUACCCCGGUAGU
rnacentral:rRNA from 1 species